UUUCCGUAGGUGAACCUGCGGAAGGAUCAUUAUCGUACAACAUGUGAGGGACAUGCGAGGCAUGUCGCUGACCCAAACGUCGUGCACUUCCGAUUGUGUCCUCCUGAAUAAUAAUCCACCUCACCCUUUGUGCAUCACCGCGCGGGCACCCUUCGGGAUCAUCUCGGAGGAGGGCUCGCGUUUUCACACAAACCCCCCUUUUCAAAGUGUAUAAUGACCACAUUUAUGAAAUCAAUACAACUUUCAACAACGGAUCUCUUGGCUCUC
rnacentral:misc_RNA from 1 species